rnacentral:lncRNA from 1 species
CUCUACAAGAGAUGCCUUUAAAAUAUUUAUCUUGCUUGGAAAGGAAGAUGGUGUUGACUGUGUUGGUCCUUAGUUUCUGAGGGAGCUCGUUCUACACUCAUCUUAUUUUCAAGAGAUUUGUCUUCUGGAAAGAUGAGCUUUUUACUUUAAGUCAGAAGGUACCAGUGUAACCACUGUUCUUGUUCUGGAGCUUUCUUUACUCUAGAUGGAAUCAGGUCAUUUUCAGUGUUACAGAUAGAGCCUGAGACCUUGAACUUCAUGCACUGCUCUGCAAGGAGCUAAGAUAAAUCUGAAGCAAGCAGGAUCGUCUGUGUGGGUAUCCACAGUUAUUUGCUAAGGCAAAAUUUUUGUGGAAGUUCCUUCUCUGGAAGCUUCUGUUUCUAGAAAUGACAAUUCAACACCAGCUUCUCAGCACUACCUUAGUGGUUGUAUCCAUGCCGUGGCAGAAUAGGAAGAGCUUCUGGAACUGACCAAGGUCGUGAGAGGGUUGGGACACUCCAGGUUCAAUGUAAUCUCACUGGGCACCAACA